CUGUAGACCAGAGGUGUUCCUAUUCGGCCAUCUUGGCUCCUCCCAGAAAAAUCCUAAUGUUUUCAACGUGAAAUAUGUAUUUCUAUUUUAGUCUGGAUCUUUUAUUUUGAGACAGCAGAGUGCAGUGGAGGAAGUCCUAGAAGAACUUCUGUGAAAAACUCCUGUAACAAGUAUGCUGAAGAUUUUGACCCAUGGACUGAGAACAAAAUGCAACUUCAGUUUUGUCUCCCUCUUGUUGUAAUUGUCUUGAUCUGUAAUGAUUAA
rnacentral:lncRNA from 1 species